UACGUAGGGUGCAGGCGUUAAUCGGAAUUACUGGGCGUAAAGCGUGCGCAGGCGGUUUGCUAAGACAGGUGUGAAAUCCCCGGGCUUAACCUGGGAACUGCGCUUGUAACUGGCAAGCUAGAGUGUGGCAGAGGGGGGUGGAAUUCCACGUGUAGCAGUGAAAUGCGUAGAUAUGUGGCGGAACACCGAUGGCGAAGGCAGCCCCCUGGGCUGAGAUUGACGCUCAGGCACGAAAGCGUGGGGAGCAAACAGG
rnacentral:rRNA from 1 species